UCUGCCCCUAGAAGCAUUGCAGAUGUGGCUGCUGUGUCACAUGCGUAUCAGUAGGUGGCAGAGAGGAGAGAGGCUCUGACAUAGGAAUGGUUAGUAGAAUAACAUUCCCUGAAAAAGAGUAAGAGCCUGAGAUG